GAUGAACGCUGGCGGCGUGCCUAAUACAUGCAAGUCGAGCGAGCAGACGUGGAGCUUGCUCCUCAGACGUUAGCGGCGGGCAGGAGCGUAACCCGGGGAGAACCUCCCUAUAAGACUGGGAUAACUUCGGGAAACCGCGCCUAAUACCGGAUAAUAUAUUGAACCGCAUGGUUCAAUAGUGAAAGACUGGUUUGCUGGCGCUUAUAGAUGGUACCGGGGCGCAUUAGCUAGUGGGUACGGUAACGGUUAACCAAGGCAACGGUGCGUAGCCGACCACGGAGGUGGUCCGGCCCCACUGGAACUGGAACACGGGCCAGACUCCUACGGGGGGCAGCAGCAGACACUCUUCCGCAGUGGGCGAAGGCAUGACGGAGCAACGCCGGGUGAGUGAUGAAGGUCUUCGGAUCGUAAAACACUGGUAUUAGGGAUGAAGAAAUGCGUAAGUAGGUAAACACGUAUUGACGGUACCUAGUCAAAAAGCAACGGCUAACUACGUG
rnacentral:rRNA from 1 species